GAGAGAGCUGAUGAUUGAGGAUAUCGGAGACGGGUGAAGGGCCCGCUUAAGGUAUUGAAGAUAGGUGAGGGGUGCUCGAGCAAAUGUUACUCAAAACGUCAUCCGAUUGGCAGUGAGCUGAAAAAAAAAAACAAACAAAAUAGCGAAAAAAAGAUAGCCGCCAUUUCGAAGGGUUUAAAAGAUCGAAGACUGGUUUCUUAUCAAAAGAUGAUCAGGAUCUGAAGGUCUACUCGAUGAAU